rnacentral:rRNA from 2 species
UGCGAAGCCCUUUCGACGAGUCGAGUUGUUUGGGAAUGCAGCUCCAAAUGGGUGGUAAACUUCAUCUAAAGCUAAAUAUCUGCUGGAGACCGAUAGCGAACAAGUAGGGUGACCGAAAGAUGAAAAGAACUUUGAAAAGAGAGUGAAACAGUACGUGAAAUUGUUGAAAGGGAAGCGCUUGCAACCAGACUCGUUCAGCCGCUCUUUGCGGUGUACUCCCCGCCGGGCCAGCAUCGGUUCGGACGGCCGGACAAAGGGAACGUAGCUAGUGUUAGCCCCGGGCGUCAUGCGGCCCGUCCGGACCGAGGAUUAGGAUGCUGGCGUAAUGGUUGCCAGCGACCCGUCUUGAAACACGGACCAAGGAGUUGACCAACCGGGCGAGUAUUUGGGCGAAACCAUGCGCAAUGAAAGUGAACGUGGUGGGAGCCGCACCAUCGACCGAUCUUGUUCGGAUGGAUUUGAGUACGAGACCGGUUGGUCUGACCCGAAAGGAUAGGGUGAAGCCAGAGGAAACUCUGGUGGAGGCUCGCAGCGGUUCUGACGUGCAAAUCGAUCGUCAAAUCUGCGCAUAGGGGCGAAAGACUAAUCGAACCGUCUAGUAGCUGGUUCCUGCCGAAGUUUCCCUCAGGAUAGCAGCAACUCUCAU